UGCCCUGAAGGCAACCAACCAAAUUGCACCAGUACUGAACAUGCGUGCCUCUGCAAAUGCUAAGUGCAUAAGGACGAAUUAGCAAUCAAGCGAUUACAGCUUUCAGCUGGAUGCCUCGGGCAAAGGAAUAUGGCUUGUGGUGCUAAUAAAGGUUCUUGUUU
rnacentral:lncRNA from 1 species